UUCAAGCUUCCGUGCGUAAUUCGCAUACUUACUUGUAAAUGAGUAUUUUGAAUAAGUAUUUAGGCUUCUUUUUGCUUUUGGUAGGUCUGAAACGACUCGUGAUCUUCGCUCACUGUAAUGGGAUUGCCGUACAUUGUAAUUGUUCAAUUAUUUUUAAUGGGCGUAAAAGUCAAAUUGGCCAACAUCUAUGAAACAUUCUUAAGGAAAGGUUACACGAUGGGUUAUAUGGAGCAAAAUUUUGAAAUCUUCAUUAUCAGAAACGGCUCGCCCAUGCAUAGUAAAUUAGUAGAUCAUCGUACCUUGCUGGAACCGCAUUAGAUCUGUUGUUUUGUACAAUUCCUCGCUGAAUGUGGGCCCGCAUUUACAAAUAUAAACCUUGAAUAGCUUCCAAAUAUUCUCGCACCUAAUUUUAAUUUUGCCUACAUUCAUACAAACCUACGAAUUAUGGUAAAAUUGUGCCUUAAUAGCUUGGACAAGGUUGGUUUUUAUUUUAAACAAUACGUAAAUAAAGAGUACCUAUUUAA